UUCUGUGUGCCAACAAGCUGCCUGCCCU
rnacentral:piRNA from 1 species